UAUGUUUUUGUUUUCUGGUACAGCUCAAAAAUUAACUCCAACAAACCUAGACCUCGCCACUCAAAUUACUGAACCUCCCCGCUGUCUCUCUUUGAAGCAAGACCUAUAUUAUUGAUUGAGGCAUAGAUGUCCAGAAAGAGAGCUUCGCUUCUCACUAUCAAAUCCAUCGCUUCUUUAUCAAAGGUAUGCUCUUCAAGUAACUCCUUUGAGUCUAUCACUUUUUUCAAGAAUCUUAGCACCGCCACUGAAAGAUUUGAUUUUCAAAACUCGAAUGGGUAUCACGAACAGAAUUCUAAUGAGCAUUUCCAUAAACCAGAUGGGCCUUAUGGUUAUAACAACGAAAACUCUGGUGGAAACAACUUAAACCCUAAUGGGGGUUUUAGGGAAAGCCCUAGAAUUGAUUUAUGGAACAACCCAAUUGGGAAAAAUGUGAAUUCUACUGGGUUUCAUGGGAAAAAUCGUGUAGAUUUUCAGCAAAACUGUGAUGGAGCUUCCUGGGAAAGAAGCAGGGGAGAGAAUCAUAAUAACCGAGCUGAGAAAAAUGGAAACUUUAGUGGUUAUUAUGAACGUAAUAAUGGGAGUUCUCAACAGAACUAUGGUUGGGUUGGUGGGCAGCAUAGUCAAAAUGGGUAUUAUGGAGGACAUGGAAAUGCGCAACUGAGUCGGAACGAGCCUGGGUUUAAUUCGCAAGGUCUUUCAGAGUCACAAAGAAGCCUGAAUAGCAAUUACACUCAUAAUGUUGAGAAAUUUCACCAUGGUCUCAAUGAUCAUUACAUGGUAAAUGGUGGACAAUAUCAACAGAACCAAUAUUUUGGACAGCACCAGCAGAACCAAUAUUUUGGACAACACCAGCAGAAUUUGAACGUUGAACAAUAUCAGCCAAACUGUAACUCUUUUCAGAGCAGCAUGGAGGCUUCUCAAGUAUCAAACUAUGCUAAACCUGAAGGGGAUUCAACCGAAUCUUCCAAAAGUAGCUUGAAUAGAGGUUCUAUGGAGGAGCUGGAUGAAUUUUGCAAGGAGGGAAAGGUGAAGGAAGCUGUGGAAUUUUUGCAGUUGUUACAGAAGCAGAGUGUUUUUGUCGAUCUAUCACGCUAUUUGCAGUUGAUGCAGGCAUGUGGAGAGGCUGAAGCUCUAGAGGAAGCAAGAGUGAUUCAUGACUGCAUUGUAAGAUCACAGUCUCCUCUAGAUGUUGGCACACUUAAUAAGAUCUUAGAAAUGUACUCAAAAUGUGGUGCCAUGGAUGAAGCGUUCAGUGUAUUUGACAACAUGCAAGAGUGCAAUUUGACUUCAUGGUAUAUCAUGAUAACAUGGCUUGCUAAGAAUGGGUAUGGGGAGGAUGCCAUUGAUCUGUUUAAUCAGUUUAAGCAAGGAGGACUGAAACCUGAUGCACAAAUUUUUGUUGGGGUGUUCUCUGCUUGUAAUGUCUUGGGUGAUAUCAAUGAGGGAUUGCUGCACUUUGAGUCCAUGUGGAAAGAGUUCAGCAUUGUCCCAUCAAUGGAGCACUAUGUGAGCAUUGUGGACAUGUUGGGAAGUAACGGAUAUCUAGUUGAAGCCUUGGAAUUCAUUGAAAAGAUGCCAAUGGAGCCUAGUGUAGAUGUUUGGGAAACUUUAAUGAAUCUCUGCAGGGCACAUGGGCACUUGGAGCUUGGAGAUCGCUGUGCUGAGCUUAUUGAGCAAUUAGACCCCUCCCGCUUGAAUGAGCAAUCUAAUGCAGGUCUUGUACCAGUGAAAGCUUCAGACAUUGCAAAAGAGAAAAAGAAGAAGACAGCAAGUCAAAAUCUUUUAGAUGUUAGGAGCAGGGUCCAUGAAUAUCGAGCGGGGGAUACAUCUUUUCCUGACAGGGAUAGAGUUUAUGCCCUGCUCAGGGGUAUGAAGGCACAAAUGAAAGAUGCUGGUUAUAUUCCAGUAACAAGAUUUGUGUUGCAUGACAUAGAUGAAGAAAGCAAGGAGGACGCUCUUCUUGCUCAUAGUGAGAGACUUGCUACUGCUCAUGGUCUUCUGACCACAGCUGCUCGUUCUCCUCUUCGAGUAGUCAAGAAUCUUCGUUUUUGUGGUGAUUGCCACAAUGCGAUGAAGAUCAUCUCGAAACUUGUUGGCAGACAACUCAUCAUGCGAGAUGCCAAGAGGUUUCACCAUUUCAAAGAUGGGGUCUGCUCUUGUGGGGAUUAUUGGUGAACAGGAUCUGCUUUGAGUCUGAAACAAUGACGGAGAAGAUCACAGAGAAGAUUGAUGGCCAUGAUUCAUCUUUGUCUUCUUAUUCUGAUAAUGACAGUUUUUUGCCUCUGAAAUUGAAGAUUUUUCAGCAUUUUGGGAGAAAAAACGUCCACAAAGUUUUGGGCCAAGGCAAAUGUGAGCUUGGAGGAAAGACAGGGAUGACGACAGGAGGUUGAUACGGAAUGACUGGUUUAAAUAGUAAAACCUGCAUCCAACAUAUUUGUAGAAGCUACUAAAUUGAAGCACCCAUAAUCAAAAUCCCUUCUUUGGACCUUAGUUUUUGUGCUACCACUUCCAUAUCUUGUGUUUGAAUGAUAAAAACAGAAGGAUCAGGUCAUUUUGAAGAGUCUGUUGAAAUAAUCAGAAGGCAUAACAAGGGCCUAUGAUGGCUAGUGACGUUUGGUGAUCUUAAGGUUUAUGUUGCACAACAAUUGGUAUACGAACUCUUGAUGUGAAGUGUAUUCCUGUCUUUAUUUAUUUUAUUAACCGGGGACGCUUCCCUCAUUGUCUCA